GGGAUUUUCUUGAACCUUCAAAGAAAGAGGUUUGGAGCUCCUAGUGAGUGAAAUGAAGUUGCGCCAAAGUUUGUUUCAGAAGUUCCGGUGGCCAGAGAGGGAGGAGGGAGGAAGGUGGACCGGAAGUGGGGUCCAGGGAAAAGUUCAUGAUAUGCCUAGUUAGCUGACAGCAGCGGAGGACUGGGGUCUGUCGAGGGUCGGGGAUCUAGCGGAGCCUUGACCGCUUUGGGUGGUGGCCCCAGUUUGGCCAGUCCGGUUCUGCAGGGCACAGCUCCGUGUGGCGCUCCUAGCUGUGCCCAGGCUCCCCCAACUCGGCCCGGACACGGUAGCUCCUUCGUCUGUCUAGUGCCCACUGAGUGUCCGGCAGGAAUCCAGCCGGCCAGCGCACCAGAAAGGCGGCCUGGACGGAGAACCGAGUCCGACACCGGAAACGUGUCUCCACUCCGCCCAGAGCCCAGACGGCGCCAGCCUCGGUCCUCCCCCAAGUGGCCAGAGUUCUUGGGUCAUUUAGUAUCAGACACACACGACUCACCUACGUUUAUAGAGAACCUUUGUUUACGAUCCCGGUGAAAACAAAGCUGCUAAUUGAAAAACAGUUACAGGAGCGUGUCUUUCAGCAUCUUAAAGCCCGAGGUUAACAGCUGCGCGCGCCGGGGGAGGGAGGGGCGAGGGAAGCGAUGAGCCAGGGGCCGCCCCGCACGUCUACGUGCCUUGGGGGUCCCGGGCGAGACACGUGGGCCGGAUCGAGCCUUCAAGAGCCUAGGGCCGGGGUCCCAGGCUGGAAAGCCUCCCGCAGCCCGCCAGCUCUUUCUCCACCUUUGGGUUCCAGUCAACCCCAAGGGGCGAAGGAUGGAAAACCAGCCGCUAAAUACCAUGUGCGCCCGGACACGGGACCCAGGAGCUGGAGGACCUAGAGUCCCGUUUCUCAUCCGGGGAGCAGCACUUGUUUCCACACUUCGGCUUCCUCUCUCUCCAAGAACAAUCGAGGCAGACCCAGUUGUCCCUGAAUGGCUUCUUAGCCUUGGAGGCGACGUUUCCGGGUAAAUAAAUAUGCACUGAUGUCCCACUUAGUGUGUGAGAGGGUUUGACUCCCGUUGAAGCUGACUAUUCUGAAACCACUGGAUUUUAAUCUGGAGGGAAGUUUGAGCAAUCAGUUUCUUCCUGGUUAGGAAAUCGUGUGCUUCUUCAUCACCAUCACUGUAGCCGUGGUUUGGAGGCGGCUGCGAAAGUAACCCCCACCACCACCACCUUUACAAAAAAUCUAAUGGUCUGCACUCCCCCCACCCCUCCCCGGGCCCAAUCCGGGUAGGAAAUGGGCAGGGAGCAUAGUGGCGGGGGCGGAAUAAGGCGGGGUCUUGGGGGGGGGGGGGGGGGGCGAUUGCUUUGCUGUUUUACUAGCUAAGAAUCUUGGGUGAAUUUAGGGCAAGCCAGCGGAGACACCGUGUCCCCCCCCCCCCCAAAGUCCCAUAUCCAAAUCCAGAUCAGAGUCAUCCUAUGAACAGGAGUGGAGUAUCAGUCUCCCCUGGAAGGGUCAUGUAGCAAUAAGACAGCAGUGGCGAGAAGGGCGGGGGGCGGGGGGGGGACGGGGGGGGGUGGGGGGGGGGGGGGGGGCGUCUGCUUUUCCCUGGACUCCCAAGCUUCGCCGCCGAUUCUCAAUUUUCUGAAGGAGCAAAGAACAUCGUCGACUCUAAGUAGGGCUUUUAGUGUGCUCAUUGAUGAGUGAAAGUCGCCACACAUGUCAAGCUAAAGGCAGUUGUUGGGUUACUAACAGGACCCAGCGCCUUGCAAACAUAUGCGCUAAGCUGUGUAUACAGAUGGCAGGCAGAAUAAUGGAGCAGGCGCCUUUUAUAAAGCUCUAGCUGCUGCCUGUCUUCAGACCUGGGAAAUGAAACUAUUCAGACUCGCGGCCAGAUAGCGCCUGCGAUUGUUUGUUACCGUUUUAAUCCUAUUAAUUAAAACGUUAACCUGAUUGGGUAGAAAGCGCUGUCCCAACAGGCGACUCUUCUUCAUAAUAACCUACUCAGAGAUAAUGAUGUAAAAGACUCCCCCGUCUGUGGCGGCGGCUGGUUGAUGGGUCCGGAAAUCUCUUGAAGGUGAAUCCAAGCAAGAUAAACGGUGCGGAGAGGAGGCGCGGGGCUGGGCUCAGAGCGGCGGCGGCGGCGGCGGCUCCACACCCUGCGCGCCCACCCUCCC
rnacentral:lncRNA from 1 species